ACUCAAAGGAAUUGACGGGGACCCGCACAAGCGGUGGAGUAUGUGGUUUAAUUCGACGCAACGCGAAAAACCUUACCUGGGCUCGAACGACUGGAAGUAGUCCCGAUGAAAGUUGGGGCGAUCUGUCAAAUCAGAAACCAGCCGAGGUGCUGCAUGGUUGUCGUCAGCUCGUGUCGUGAGAUGUUGGGUUAAGUCCCGCAACGAGCGCAACCCUCAUCCUAUGUUGCUAACCCGCAAGGGUGCACUCUUAGGAAACUGCCCACGAUGAGUGGGAGGAAGGUGGGGAUGACGUCAAAUCCUCAUGGCCUUUAUGUCCAGGGCUACACACGUACUACAAUGGUCGGUACAGAGGGCUGCAAUACCGCAAGGUGGAGCCAAUCCCUAAAGCCGACCCCAGUUCAGAUUGUGGUCUGCAACUCGUCCACAUGAAGGAGGAAUCGCUAGUAAUCGCGAAUCAGAAGGUCGCGGUGAAUACGUUCCCGGGUCUUGUACACACCGCCCGU
rnacentral:rRNA from 1 species